rnacentral:tRNA from 1 species
GCGGGUAUAGUUCAGUGGUAGAACACUGGUUUGUGGCACCAGUUAUGAGGGUUCGAUUCCCUCUACUCGCCCA